UCUGGGCCGGGCUAGGAGUCCACAGCUGGAAAGGGCACAAAGCCAACUGCAGAAUCACACACGGAACCGAGUAUUUAGUGCUGCGGGAGGUUCCAGCACAACAGCACAAGCGGAAGCAACAUCUGCCAAGAAGGGUGGCAUUCCUCAAAAUGAGUUUCAAAAGCAAGUCCUGCGGCAGCUCCAUAUAAUCAGACUGAUGAUCGAACAGCAGCAAGAUGUCCUCAACAACUUGCC